AGCAUUCCGAGCUCUCUGAAGGAACACAGUGUACUGCAGUGCUUUGGCCCUGGGGCCCAUGGGCUGCGGAGGCAGAGGACCUGUCAUGCACUGCUAAGAGUCUAUUGUGGGCAGACACUGCUGGGAAUCAGAACAUGGAAGAUGCCCUGUUCCUCUCGAGGAAGGCAGAGCUGCCGGGAGUUCCAGACAGAAGCAGGCAGAGAGACCUCUGUGAGGUUGAUGUCAGCUUGGUCUACAUAGCCACUUCUCGGCUAACCCAGUGAGAUGCUGUCAUAGACAAAUUCCUUGGUGUGUCCAAGAUGUAAAGGGAGAGAGACAGCAGAGACAUCCGAAGUCAAGUCUUCCCCUCACACUGCUCACUGCACACACGUUAGCAGAACACUCACACCUACAAUACACAGCUACACCUAAGGCUCCGGACACUGCAAAGAGGAGGCAGAAAGACUUUCUAAGAGCCAGGGGACCAGCAUUCUGUGAGGUUUUGUCUCCUAGUAACAUCAGAAGCUACGCCUGUAAAGUCUCACCAGCAUCACUGCCUAAACAUGACCUGACGAAGGAGGACACCAAUGGUUAUGUCAACUGAAUGGGAAAAAAGCCCAAUGAGACCUGAACCCUACACAAAAACUAUUGGCAACCGAGUGAAGCUGGAGCGAGAGGUGGCCCUCCCCAGGGAAAAGCACACCAACUCGUCAUCUAGUGUGGAAUGGUGACACAAGCAACCCUGUAUGGACUUAGCAGGCUGUAUUUAGAAAUAUAUAUGCAUGUAUAUACAGACACAUCUAUGCAUGCAAUAUCAACUGAUGAAAAAAGAGGCUAUGAGUUUGAAAGAGUGUGUGGGGAGGGGUAACUAGGAAGGUUUGGAAGGAGGAAAGGCCAAGGAGAAACAUUGUAACGAGAAUACAAGCUCAAAACUAAACCCUAACAAAAAGAGUAAAAAGCAUGCUUGCUUACAACCCCACAAGCCACCAGCCAUCGCUCCCUGUAGGUGGCACAGUGCCCCUAGACACCCACCUGGCCCAAGGCUAGCUCCUAUCAGAGUUAUACUCAGCGAGCACCUCUUAGUGACUUCCACUGUCACCAUCUCCUAACCACAUUCCUCUUUUGCUCCACUCAAUGCUACUAGCCAGGGUGAGUGUAGUUCGUUGGUUUGUAUUGCCUAUCUUUUUCAAGGAAAAAAAAAAAAAAACGUUCCUGAGGGCAGGAACUCUCGUGUUACUUCACUGCUAUAAUCCUUGGGUCUGGAAAAGCACUCAAUGCAUAACAGGCAUUCAAUAAAUAUUUGUGGACUUGU
ensembl:antisense Gm16364 predicted gene 16364